rnacentral:rRNA from 1 species
UACGGAGGGUGCGAGCGUUGUCCGGAAUCAUUGGGCGUAAAGGGCGCGUAGGUGGCCCGGUCAGCGUGCGGUGAAAGCUCGGGGCUCAACCCCGAGUCGGCCGUGCGAACUGCUGGGCUGCAGCACUGUAGAGGCAGGCGGAAUUCCGGGUGUAGCGGUGGAAUGCGUAGAGAUCCGGAAGAACACCGGUGGCGAAGGCGGCCUGCUGGGCAGUGGCUGACACUGAGGCGCGACAGCGUGGGGAGCAAACAGG